ensembl:lincRNA
CGGGGUCCGAGCAACGCGGCCCAGGGCCCGGGAGAGCGCGCUGGGACGCGCGGGGGGUGGGGGUGAGAGGUCCCCUCAGCUCCCGGCCACCAGGCAAAUUCGCUCGACCCCAGGGUGCGUUUCAGUCAGCUGCUGGCCAAUUCCGUAGCAGAGCCCACCAGCUCGGCCGCCCUCGAGGCCCUCAGCCCCCACCCCCACGCCCAGGCUACUGGGGUUUGGGGAACAGAGCAGGGCUGCUCGGAAGAGGGGUUCCUAGUUCGUCUGGACUUGCAGUAGAUGUAGACAGGCAGAUUCCUGGGGCAAGAGGAAAAUCAGAGGAACACUGCAGUAGAGUCUGCCCGGAGUUCAGGUCCCAGCUCCAACACUUAGGACACUUCCUGUUCUUCCUCUAUAAAACAGGGACAGUACAGAAGGAUAAUCGCUUGUCUACCUCCUCCAGCUCCUGGCCCCGGAGGGACCCAUCCUACCAUGAGAAGCCAGCCCUCCUCACCUCUGGAAGGAGUGCACUGACUCUCCUCCUAUCUUUACGCACAGUAAAGGUGAGUGUGUUGUGAUAGGUUUGUUUCAGGUUUGUGUCCAUGAGGGUGGGUGUUCCAGGGUUGGGAGGAAAUGCAGGUCUAAUUCUGGUCUAGUGUGUCCAGGGUGUACAGGAUGGUCUUCCAGUCCUCUCCCUAUCCCACCUCCUUCCCAUCAAGCAGUUAGACUCUGCUGGCAAAACUCAGGAGCAGUGGCUCUCACAUGCUGAAAGUCUUCCCCCCAGCUACCACCCCCCCAUCUAUUCACAACCAGUGUCCUUCAGGUUGUCUACAUUCAGUGCCUGUGCAUCCUCCUUGGCACAGCUGCACACCCUGACCUCCGUGAGUAGACCAACGGCCCACUGCUAAUCCCAGGCACAGCUUUUCCUGGGCCUACAGGGCUUUGAACACUCCCUCCCUCUACCACACCUUCCCCUGGCUUCCCCCUCCUGAGUGGCUGGCCUUCUCCAUCUCUUCCAGGGGUGUUCUGCUACUGCCCAGCCCUGAGUAUAGGCCCUCCUUCGGGCUCAUUGGUGGACACUCUCCUCUUCUUUCAGUAACAGUGGCCCAGGGUCCGUGGGCUGAUACCACCUCAGGAUCUCAAUCCUGGCUCUCUUCCCCAUCCCAGGCUCACAUCUGCCUGCUGGCAUCUCUGCUCACUGCUCCAAAGGCUUCUCAUGCUCAGAAUGCCUGAAGGAACCCUAACCCUUCCCUGAAUCUGUAUCAGCACCUUCACCCAGCAUGUCACCCAAAGGAAAGCACUGGCGUCAUUCCCGACCCUGGGAGUCCCUGCACCAGAGCACUACCUUUGACAUGCCUGCUUCUCCCCACCUGCUGCCACUCUGGGGCAGAGCUACAACACUAAAAGUGUUGCCCCAAAGUCUUCUAAGGGUUCCUCGGCCACCUUUCUAAGAGGACCAUGUGCUCCUUGCUUCAGGCCCUUGCGCAUCUCUCCUCCACUGCUGGAAAGCAGUCUGGACCCUGCACAUGCUCUGUACUGACUGUCCAUCUCCAGCCCCUCUGACUUUGUGCUUUCACCCUGACUGAUGGUCCUGGGACUAGGUGGCCCAUAGUUGACCAGCUCCUUAAUUUGCUCUGCCUCCCUAAAUGCCCUCAUUCUCAGGUUCCUCUGGCCAAAGGCUGGGCUGACCCGGGAUACCCCAAGCUCACAUUCAAAGACUCAGACCAGAACCAGCUGCUCGACGCCAUAAAUGGGGAUUAGACACCCCCCUUUGAGGCGGGCGGGUGGGCUGUGAGAAGAGUUGGUUUGGUAUAGAUUUUAUGGCAGGAUCACAUUUCCUCAUCAGACCCCCCUCUGAAGCCAGCCAAGGGCAGGUCAGGGGCAGGGGACUGGGAACCUGAGCUGCUCCAUCAGCCCAGAGCACAGGGUUACUGGCACAGGAGGGAGCCUGGCUGGGAGUCAGGGGCCCUGAUUUCCAGCCUCCUCUCUGCUGCCCACCUGCUGUGUGAACUGGGGCAAGUCCUUCCAUUCUCUGGUCUGUGAAACAGGGGCUCUAGAUUAAAUGCGCUCUUAGGCUGGUUCCAUUUUCAGGCCCUCUGGCCCUCUCCCAGUCCUAGCCAUAACAAAACUGUUAAACUUCCCAGAAGACUUCUGAGCUUUCUUAUGCUCACAAACUCAUGAAUUAGGGUGGCCAUGUGUAAUACAGGCUACCAAGUUAAAUUUUAAUUUCAGAUAAUUUUCACUAUAAAUAUGUCCUAAGUUUUGUGUAGACUUAUGUGUUUAUAUUAAAAACCAUUCCUUGUUCAUCUGAAAUUCAUAUUUAUUUGAAUGCCCUGUAUUUUUCAUUUGUUGAAUCUGGCGCCCUGAUCUUAUAUACACUGGAGCUGGAGUUUACCGGACUGCAGCAACUCAUGGACCUUCUCACUGGAGUUUACAAAACUGUAGCUUGUGGGCCUUCUAUGCAAAGCAGGUCAGAUGUUGACAGGUUAAGUGUCCUUGGGCAGAGAUCUGUGAUCAGAUGCCAGUUGAGAUUUUGUGGAAGGGUGUUCCAGGCAAAGAACACAGCAUAUUUAGAGGUCUAGAGACAGGCUGGUGUUGGACAUGUUCCAAAACAGGCAGUGGGGGACCAGUGUGUGGGAUGUAGGCUGUAAGUGGCAGGAAAUGCAGAUGGAAAGAUUAGUUGGAGUCAGAUCAGGCUGUAUACAAUCUGUGUUGCUGUUGCUAUUAGGCAAGGGGGCCCAGAGGAAGGUCUGAGUUAAAGCAGAAUCACAACCAGAGACCAAGGUACAGAGAGCAGAAUCCAGCUGCCCAGAGAUUAGGAGGAGGAAAACCUGCAGAAGGGACCUCCAAGGACCAUUCAGGAAAUUUGAUCUCAGAUCUGGUCUGUGCAUGGAAUAAACAAUAAGUAGCAGUCAGUAAAUGGUAGCUGUUGGGUUGCCGUUAUGAUCAGAUGCUCAGUAAAUGCUGUGAUUUGGUACCAGCUGACCACAUGCCCCAGACUGUGCAUGGGAUUAGAGCCACUUCUUGCCAGCUAGGAACCUAGAUAUUAUGGAGCAACAACAGCUGGCAGAUUCCCAAACUCUGCUCAGCUUUGCCACUCUCCCCUCCUCCUCUGUCUACUAUCAAUGAAAGGUGAACCACCAGGGAGAAUAUUAUGGACAAAGGGCAUUUCAGGGAGCCAGUAAAAACUAUCUAAGGCAGAAGGGCCACUUUCUAAGAAUCCCUGCAAGAUGCACUUGAACAAAUAUUUCAUGUCAUUCUCACAACUCUAGAAAGUGGACAUUGAAGCCCCAUUUUAGAGAUGUGAAUAUCAAGGCUUGGAGAGGAAAAGUCUUUUGCCUGAGGUUCUUAACCAAUAGUAGAAGAGGCCAAGUUUAAAUGUAAGAGUUCCUUUCCUUACAUGAGACAGCAUCUAUGGAUCAGAGCAACAAAAACCAGACCCAAUUUCUGCUUCAGUCCACUGCAACCUAUGUCUGUUGGGUCUAUCUAGCCUCCUAGAUCCCAAAGCUCCCUCCAUCUGGUCAAUGAAAUCC